GACGUAGGAGGCGAGCGUUGUCCGGAUUCAUUGGGCGUAAAGAGCGCGCAGGCAGCUUGGUAAGUCGGAUGUGAAAUCCCGAGGCUCAACCUCGAGCGUGCACCCGAUACUGCCGGGCUUGAGGCAGGUAGGGGAGAUCGGAAUUCCUGGUGUAGCGGUGAAAUGCGCGGAUAUCAGGAGGAACACCGGUGGCGAAAGCGCUCUGCUAGGCCGCAACUGACACUGAGGGACGAAAGCUAGGGGAGCGAAUGGG
rnacentral:rRNA from 1 species